AGGCAGAGUGCUUUCCUGAAACUUACAGGAAUCCCUGUCAAGGGGUGCUGAAACUGCCCAAGAGUUAAGGUAUUAAAAGAGAAAGGAGAGGAGAAAGAUAAAGAGCCACACAAAAACCUUGGCUAGCAAGUAGACACAAAAGCUUUCGUGUGAAACAUCACACAAAAGUGGAGAUAGAAUGAGAAGAAAGUCUUCAAAUCUAAGUAAAGUUGUGUAAGAAUUUGAAGUGGAAGGAUGAAGAACAAUGAGAAGGAAAUGUAAUACAGAUGAUAUAUAAAAGUAAUAAAAGCAGCUACUCCUUUUGAAUCCUCAUUUAAAUGGCUGAAACCAGAACUGGAUCUGCCUUUGUCCCAUAUCACCUAUAUGCUACAUCAAAAAUAAAUAUAAUAUUAUACAUUGAAAAUGACAGUCUGAUUAUGAUAAACUAAGACAGAACACCAGAAUAAAACA